rnacentral:rRNA from 1 species
CCUACGGGUGGCUGCAGUCGAGAAUCAUUCACAAUGGGGGAAACCCUGAUGGUGCGACGCCGCGUGGGGGAAUGAGGGUCUUCGGAUUGUAAACCCCUGUCGUGUGGGAGCAAAUGAAAAAAAUAGUACCACAAGAGGAAGAUACGGCUAACUCUGUGCCAGCAGCCCCGGUAAUACAGAGGUCGCAAGCGUGGUUCGGAAUGAGUGGGCGUAAAGCGUGCGUAGGCGGUUUCGGAAGUCGGGUGUGAAAGGCGCGGGCUCAACCCGCGGACGGCACAUGGUACUGCGAGACUAGAGUAAGGGAGGGGGAACCGGAAUUCCAGGUGUAGCAGUGAAAUGCGUAGAUAUCGAGAGGAACACCCGUGGCGAAGGCGGGUUCCUGGACAUUAACUGACGCUGAGGCACGAAGGCGAGGGGAGCGAAAGGGAUUAGAUACCCCAGUAGUC